GACGUAGGGGGCGAGCGUUGUCCGGAUUUAUUGGGCGUAAAGCGUGCGUAGGCGGCUGCGCAAGUCGGGUGUGAAACCCCGGGGCUCAACUCCGGAUCUGCGGUGGGUACGGGCAGACUAGAGUGAUGUAGGGGAGACUGGAAUUCCUGGUGUAGCGGUGAAAUGCGCAGAUAUCAGGAGGAACACCGGUGGCGAAGGCGGGUCUCUGGGCAACAACUGACGCUGAGGAGCGAAAGCGUGGGGAGCGAACAGG
rnacentral:rRNA from 1 species